GUGAUAACUUUCCAGAAUAGUACAAAUCAGUCUGUGAUUGUUACAAACGGUUGAUCAGUGUUUUUCUCAUCAAUAAUCUGUUACUCCAACUGGUCCAGUCUGUUACUCCAACUGGACCUGCUGGAAUAUUUCAUUAUGUCACCAGCACUUAAAACACGACCACACCAACAUCUCCUUGUAUUGUUUUCAACAGCGCUGUUUUCAGUCUGAAUGCAGCUAAGGAGUUGUAUGUUGCUGCAUGGCUUUUUUUUAGGUGUUUCUGUUCAAGUUUAGUUUACUUUGGUUUCAACAGGAAUUACCCAUUUAACCUCACACGUCCCUCUUUCUGUAUUUCUGUUCAAUUUUAGUUUCACUUAAUCUGACAGUCGUGGCACAGAUAGAUUUCUACAUUCAGACAUCCACCCGAAGGUAAUGUAACCACUUUUAAAUGAUUUCUCGUUACUUCUGGCUGUUGUUAGCUUAGUUACAGCACAUAACUGCAGUUGUUUGUUAGCCAGAAUUCCAGCGUUAACUGUUCAGGACGACGGAGUAACUACCACCAUCAAAUAUGUCCGCCAUUUUGUGUCAGUAUUUCAGGAGUUUCUGUGUGUGGAGUAGCAGCUGAAGUGAUUUGAUCCUCAGUAUGUGAACACAGUGUUAUUAAUACUGUGUCCCACCACUGGUUUAUGACUGUCGGCAGGUUAUCCUGCCUGAAUCAGCCUGUGGAGGAGGUAGAGAUGAGCCGCUGCUCACCCCACUGUCUGAGACACUUAGUACGGCCCCGCUCGGCCGAACAACCGCCGGAGAACUCUGUCUGACUUUCCUGUGUCUGUAGGUGACUAUAUACCUGUUUAUAUAACUACAGGACUGAUGUAGAGACAGCAGGGGGGCAGGGCGAUUGGAGCAAAUGCACCUCAUUAGUUAAGUAGGGGGAGCAAAGUUAUGUUUUUUCUACCCCACUUUUUGUCUUUUUAAAAUGUAAGUUAUCAUCAUAGAGUCCCCCCUUCCCCCCUUUGAGUUGGUUCAGUCCAACCCGUUGAUCGGAGCACAUUGACAGACUGACAGAGCGGAGUGUAUCCUCUCAGCGCUGAAGUGUCCGAAUUAACAGUCAAAUGUCCAGUGGUGGAAACUGACUCAUUUAGACUUCUACAGACUGCUUUAGUUUCAGGUUUAGGGUUAGGGUUUAGGAUUAUUUAUCUUUCCAGGUUUGCUCCCUCAUUUUAAAAUAUAACCAGGCACCCAUGGUGAGUAGCUUAAGUUAUUCUAUUAAAUAAAGAAAUAAAGACAGCACUCAUCUUAUUGACACUCUUCCAACAUGAACGAGUGUCGCUUCUUUAUGGAAAUGUCUCAUCAAAUGUGUUUGGAAAUUUGGAUCCAUCUGCUUUUGUAACUUGUAGUACAUUCACUCCAGUUCUGUACUGAAGUACAAUCUUAAAGUAGCCUACUUGUACUUCUAUUUACUACUUUAUAUUUAUACUCCACUACAUUACAGAGGGAGAUAUUUUACUUUGUACUCCACUACAUUUUUUUCCACAGCUAUGAUUAAGAUUUUAUAUAAAAAUAAAUUAUCUGUCUAUAAAAUAUGAGUAAAAUAAGAUAUGAUAGACUUUGUUGCCCCAGUGGGAUAUUUACCUCAGACAUCAGUGUCUUCAGUAUAACAUCACAGCAACAGCAACAACAAUAAAAAUAGAUACAUCCAUCAAUUGCACAUACCCAUCUAUAUUAUAAAAGUGCACAUAUAGAGUAACACUCAGUUAUAGAUUAAACUACCCAAAAGUACACUCACUGAGCACUUUAUUAGGAACGCCUGUGCAAUCUAAUGCAAUCCAAUACAACAGCUCUGCCAUAAAUUAAUUAAUGAAGCUUCCUCUCAGGUUCAGUCAGUGUGAGUCAGUGAAAGUAAAUCCUCCUCCAUGCAUCAUGUGUGCUGCUCUUCACUUCACGGCAGCUUUGUGAAGCCAUAUAGUAGACUGAUAGUAGAAGUACAGCAGCUGAUGGCAGCUUUCUCUGCCUGACGCUCUGUCUGGUUGCAUUCACACUGAUAUAUUUAACAGAAAAUAACAGUCAAACACAGGAGGAGCAGCUGCUAUUUACGAUUUCACAGGAGAAAUGACGUAAAGGAUGAUUUGUGUUUCCUCUCCAGAUGAAGGUAGAGAGUGUGUGUGGCUGAUGUGGAUGUUACUUCAGCAGCAUGAAUCAGUGUGAGGACAGAGAUAAGGGAGUCCCUCCCUGUAUAAGCUCUCUGUGUGGGGAAUAUGACUGCCAGACAAAAGCUCAGAGGUGAGAUGAGAGUCUCUGACUCUGACUCUGAAUGACACCAUCAUUAUUCACACUCAAAGCUGUGUGUGUGUUUUGUUGAAGAACAAGGAGGCAGCACAGACCACACUCUGUUGGACCUAGACCUGAACCUGACUGUGAACCUGGAUCUGGACCUGAACAUGAACCUGAACCCAGCUGUGUGUCCUUAAAGAGUGACUAGUCAAAGGACAAUGUUAUUAAUUUUAAACAAAGACAGUCAUCUGAUAAAAUAAUCCAUCAGAGACCAGACUCUGCUGAACCUGGACCUGAACCUGAACCUGGACCUGAACAUGAAUCUGUACAAUCAUCUGAUAAAAUAGUGGACAAGGAGAGCUCAGAGGUUCCCAGUGGUCAGUCUGCC